rnacentral:rRNA from 1 species
UGGUGGAGUGAUUUGUCUGGUUAAUUCCGUUAACAAACGAGACCGCCGCCUGCUAAAUAGUUCUGCGAAUGGUUUUUCAUUGGCAAGAGCUUCUUAGAGGGACUUUGCGUGUCUAACGCAAGGAAGUUUGAGGCAAUAACA